rnacentral:sRNA from 1 species
GUGAAUUAUUGUCCAUAACCGUGGUCGGCACACUCCCAAACAGAAAGGGGGUGAUGCUGGAUGACAGUGAUUGAAGCGUUAAUGUUAGUGAUUGGUUUUGCUAGUUUAAUCGUAACCAUACUGUCAUUUAAAACAACAAAAAUAAUCCACCCAUGAGUUACUGGCUCUGGUGGAUUAUUUCGCCUAUUAGCUGACUCCCUUAAAGGGAACCGUCUAUUGCUGGACCGGACAUGUAGCUACAUGUUCG